UCCAAAGCCACAACAGCCACAACAGCAACAGAGAAACAACAGCAACAGAGAAGGCACGUCCCUGUCCCCUGCAGGCAGACCACUCCCGUACGACUGUCAAUAGUCAGGUUAGGUAUCGGAAAAGAUCUAUCACACACCAGGCAUCCCCAAGGAUUCACCUUGUUACCUUACCUAAGGAUCUUUUUGAGCAUUUCCCCAUGAUUAUAACAUGGCUUCUGUGAGAUUUUAGAAUUAGCAACAGGUGAAGCAAAACAACCUUUCUGGAUAUACAAACAUAUAAUUGGCAUGCAAAUAACAGUAAGCAAACACUGACAGCUUAAGCCCUCCUCUAAAUUCUAUGGUGUCAUACAAUACAGAUGCUGAAGAAGUAAUAAGUAAGACUCCAGAAAUCCUUGCACUCCUUACUGCACAUGAUGAUCUCUGGUGCUUAACAGCUUGUAUAAAUCGCAUGACAAGUUAUGUCCAGAAACAGGCAGCAUUGGCAGCAGUUAUAGUACUGCUGGAUCAUACUCCACUUCCCAGUUUCAGAAAUCUCAAGGCAAUCAACAUCAUCAUCAUCAUCAUCAUCAUCAUCAUCCAACAUUUGGCACUGUUGCUGCAGGUUACUGGCUGCCAUGCAGCUUUCGAGCUUGAAAGAUACUAAAGUCUGGAUUGCACAGAAUGAUUGUACUUUGCACUAGGGGCCUAUUCAUCUUGCAGAAUUUAUAAACAAAAACCUUACAAUCCUGUUGUUAAAAGUUGAACCUAUCACGUGCUUCAUCUCAUCCUGCAAGUCCAUCAACAAUGUUUCUAAGCCAUUCCAGGAACCCACAACUCCUCUUUGAUAAGUUUUAAUUUAUUAUACUCAUUUUGUUUAAUAUACUGCAUGAGGCAAAGGGAAAAUAUAUUACCUCAAUAUUUAUAUUGCAAAUUCUGGUGAGAUAGAGUUUGUUUAUACUAAUUCAUAUAUUGUAGUUGACAUCUUAAUGGAAAUAUUCUUGUGUGGAGUCAAGUCAGUUCACAUUAGGAUUUCUUGUGUGGGCCACCUAAUUUUUUUUAAUUGCCCAUUCUAUAGCAACUGCUGACAAGAGGAAGUGAUAUUAAGGAGGUGUGUACUGUACUACAACUUUCCUUUUCAGGAAAUUUGGCAAGGGGAAAUAAGGAUUGUGGGGGAGGGUUGGCCCACGUCUCAGUAGACCACCAUCACUGCACUGAGAGAGGCUUGAGAACUGCUGUCAGGCGGGAUUAAUCCUUUGAGGCUGAAUUAGACAGCUCUUGAAGCUAAACAAGGCAGACAUCCACCCUGUUUAUUGGACCAAAACUUUACAAAGGUCCCCAAGGGAAUAAGGUAUCUAAAUCCUUUUUGAAGUGGAGGUCAGUCAAAAUUAGGCAAUGGGCAUCUGUCUGUAUUUCUAGAGAGCACAUUCUAUUUGUGUCCUCCAGCCUUUGUGAAUAGGCAAUGUCCUACUUGUGGUUUCUGCCAGCAGCAUGAAGCAAAGUAUCUCUUUCAACAGAUACUUUUUUCAGAUGGGAUUUAGGCCAAAGAAAGACUACAGCUUUGCCGUGGUCUCCUCCUCAUCCUGUACCCUAGGGAGGAGUACUACAGUUACAGUGAAAAGAGUUUUCCCGCUCCAGUACUACCUCAGCGUGCAUGAGUUCUGCAACUCAGGAGCAGCAGGAGGGGAGAGAUAAUCGAGGAAACAAUUCAGCAAAGUUGCAAGAAAGGCCAAGACAACAGGACAGAAGCUUGGCAUGAAGAGCACACAUUAAAAAAAAAGGACGACACAGCUAAAAUAAAUUAAAUAUUAAUAUUUUGACAGUUUGCACAGUCUAGUCCUAACAAAGAAAGAACAUGAGGCCAGCCAAAGCAAGGACGUGAGAGAAGAAAAGUAUGAAAGUUAAAACAAAUUAAAGCACAGCAAAUGAAACAGUACACGCUGCAGGGCAGAACUGGCAAAUAACAAGAUUAUUGACAGCUGGCCUAGUGAUGAGACAUAUUCAUGUGAGGAGGAUGCGUUCCCAGUUGGAUUCAGGGCUGACUUGAGGAGGGCCGCUGCCAUCAGCAUCGUGUAUAUAGGGGGCCUUCCAUUGGAUGAAACUCUGAAGGGAAACCAAGACAAGAAUAAGCGCUGGUUAUUCUACAGAAGAUACAAAGAUACUACAGAAGAUGCAAAACAAAGAAAAUAUUCAGGCCUUCAGCAAAGCCAAUCUGGUGAAUGGCCAAGUGAAUCCAGGGUGUUCCCAUCUGAGAAUCAAGCUGUGAUCAGUCUGCUGUGAUACAUUUGCUACCCAUUUGCAAAUAAAGUGAAAAUGUAGAAACUCACAUCUAAAUGUAAAAUCAGAGGCUCAGUCUUCUUAACCCAUGAAUUCAGGUCUGUUUCUGUCUGUCCCUGCUUCCAGCAUCAAAGAUGUGCUUGGGAGAUAUGAGGUGGAGAGCCCAUCAGUUGGACCCAUACAUGUCCUGGAUGGUGAAAGGCAGUCAGGAGACAUUGGUGUUUUUGCUGAUACUGCUUCUAGAGGGCAGGAAGCCAGAUGGCUUGCUCUGCAAGCUACACCUAAUUUAGGUCUCUUGGGAAAGGGUUGAAUUGAGGCAGUCACCCUUUUCCCACCCCUUCCUUACAGAUUCAUUGCUGAUUCAGGCAUCACUUUCCAGUCCCAGACCCAUCUGAAGAAUUCUAGCCUUAUUGGUCCCUGUCACUCAGUCAGCUUUCAGCUCAGGCAUGACACCAAUACUGCUAGUGCCUUGUUGCCUUGGACAAAGAUUCUUACAUAAAGGUUAACAAGCAUAUUUUGUGACCCAGAGUUGGAGCACUUGUUACAAAAGAGGCUUGUGUGCCCCUCAGUCACUCAGGCCCAUCAUCUCAGUGUGUUCCUGGAUUGAGCACUGUGCCAGGUUGCAAUGGUGGCCAGGAACAACUUCCAUCUACUCCCACAUAGUGAGAAGAAGAUUGCCCUGGCUGUCAAAGUGUAAACACAUGAAGCUACCCUUAUGAGGUAUUAGACCAUUUUUUCCUCUGAUCAGCAGCAGCUCUUUGGGAUUUCAGGUAGGGAUGUGCGAAGGGGUCUGAAUUUGAACCCGUUUGACAUCGAAUGUGGCCAGUUUGAAGGUUCUGUGUAGAACUAUCCCUGAACUGAACCAGCCCCUGUUUGGCCUGAUCUUGGACUGAACAAUCCCCAAUUCGAGUUCGGGGGUUCAUAAAAUAAAUUUUAAAGACAUUUUAAAAUGUAAUUAAACUCACUGCCACCCAGUCUGGGGGCUUCUGCGUGGCUGCAGGGGGUAUCUCCAGAGGUUCCCCCUCCCCCCACCGGCCUCCAUUGAAUUACAAAUAGCCUGAUUCAGGUGGUCUUCGGCCUGUUCUGGGCCAGUCCUCCAUGGCAGUGGCCAUUUUUUUAGCCUUCCGUGCAUGUCCAGUGAACCUCUACAUAGCCGGGUCAUGUCCCAGGCCAUGCACAGGCCCACUGGGCAUGUACGUCGCCCUCCAAAAUGGCCAC